GAAUUCACAAAGGUGGAUUCUGCAAAAUCCACGGAUUAAUCCACGGAUUUUGUUGAGUCCACAGUCCACGGAUUCGCUUUUGUGAUUCACAAAGGUGGACUCGACCGAAUCCACGGAUUCUACCAAGUCCAUUACGUCACGAUUUCGAGUCAACUGUUUGGGGUGGUCUGAAACAGUGGACUCCACAGAAUCCGUGGAUUCUAGGCGUAAUUGGCCAAUCACAGCGCAGCAUUUGGGUACAUCUAGCUAGCAGACAACAACCGCUGGACGAUAAUUUUGCAGCAAAAUUUAAGGUGGAAGACUGGACGUGAAAGUGGUGGAAAAAAUACAUGCUGGACCGAACUCCGAGAAAAUUAACAAAAAAUGGCAGAAAAUCACCGUGCUCAUUUAAUGCAUCUUGAUCGUGUCAACAGCCUCUGAGAGAUAGCCAACAGGCCCAGACCCUGACGGGAUUACAGGAAUGAAUGAAUCCUUUUGAGUUGUACAUGGAUGAAGCCUUUCGAAUGCGGUAUCGCUUCUCAAAAGAGACUGCACUCCAUCUCAUCAACACGCUUGAGGGUGAUCUGAGGAGGAAUACAGAAUGUAGUGAACCUCUACCUGUUGUCAUAGGUGUCAUCGAUGGGACUCAUGUCUACAUUAGGAGUCCUCUUGGGGAACAAGCCCUGUACUUCCUUAAUCGGAAGAACAGGUAUUCCGUCAGUGUGCAGAUUGCAUUUGUAGUAAUAAAUGUAGACUCUGUUAUGCCAGUCUGAACUUUUGGGAAAGGGUCGAUAAUGUGACUUGUACUCCUAUCAUCAUUCCAAUGUCACUAAAGUAUAAUAGCGGUCAUUGACUAUUUUUAAGCAUUGAAAUUUAGAUUGUUUUAUUUAGCACCCUCUCUUUGUAAUGUACUGUACAGUACUUAUUUGUCCUUUAAAUAUGCUCUUGAGCAUUUUCCUUACAAAUUCAUUUAUCUUGAUAUUAGAUGCUACAGACUAAGAAUUUAAGUGAGUCUUUCGAUAAUUGUGUUUGAUAUAUCAACAUAUAUACAAAAUCAUAUAAUUCCAUCAUAUUUCUUUAAGUUAGAGAAGUGUGAAAAUCAUUCAGACAAAGACCAGAUCCUUCUAACUAGGUUUACUUUAAAAAUAAAUACUCACUUUCUUACUGUCAUGCUCUUCGUGUAUUUUUCAAUUGAUAAUACCGAAGUCAUAUAUCAAUAUUCAAUAAAUACUUAAUCAUCAUACAGUG